rnacentral:rRNA from 1 species
CACGUAGGAGGCAAACGUUAUCCGGAUUUACUGGGCGUAAAGCGCGUGUAGGUGGUUCUGUAAGUAGGGCGUGAAAGCUCCCGGCUCAACUGGGAGAGGCCGUUCUAAACUGCAGAGCUAGAGGAUGGUAGAGGGAGGUGGAAUUCCAGGUGUAGCGGUGGAAUGCGCAGAUAUCUGGAGGAACACCAGUGGCGAAGGCGGCCUCCUGGACCAUUCCUGACACUCAGACGCGAAAGCUAGGGUAGCAAACGGGAUUAGAUACCCGCGUAGUCCCU